GAAUCUUCGAGUGGCGCACAAAGGCGUUUGUCAAGUGUUAUCGAAAGUGUUUAGAUCGGGAUUAUAACUGAACAGAGUGUAUAGAAAUUAGAUAGUGCACAUCUAACAAUAUUUUAAAAAGCACACGAUCUAAUCUCAUGCAAGGCAUAUUCAAAAAGAAUAACAAUUAAAACCCAUGAGUGCUUGAAAUAAUUUAGAAGUGUGAGCUUAAACUAAGCCCAUUAAAGUUUACUCUUCUCAGGAUUACGCAUCAGAUCCGCAGCUGUACAAAAGCACAUACACGUAUAGAGGAAGCGGUCAGUGCACCGCACUGGAACCCCUGGAUCGGGCCACUCACCUGACGAACCCAGCACACACACAAUAUUAGGUGGCAGCCAUGACGAGCAUCUCGGCACUGCUGCAUCGCAGUCACAGUCACAGCCAUAAUAGCAAUGGCUACACGAGCAGCG
rnacentral:sRNA from 1 species